ACUCAAAGGAAUAGACGGGGGCCCGCACAAGCGGUGGAGCAUGUGGUUUAAUUCGACGCAACGCGAAGAACCUUACCUGGGCUCGAACGGCUUCGGACGAUCUCUGGAAACAGGGGUGUUCCCGCAAGGGACCGGAGUCGAGGUGCUGCAUGGCUGUCGUCAGCUCGUGUCGUGAGAUGUUGGGUUAAGUCCCGCAACGAGCGCAACCCUUGCCCUGUGUUGCUACUACGCAAGUAGGCACUCUCAGGGGACCGCCAGCGAUAAGCUGGAGGAAGGUGGGGAUGACGUCAAGUCAUCAUGGCCUUUAUGUCCAGGGCUACACACGUGCUACAAUGGGCGGUACAAAGCGCCGCAAACCCGCGAGGGGGAGCAAAUCGCAAAAAACCGUUCUCAGUUCGGAUUGCAGGCUGCAACUCGCCUGCAUGAAGCUGGAAUCGCUAGUAAUGGCGUAUCAGAAUGACGCCGUGAAUACGUUCCCGGGCCUUGUACACACCGCCCGU
rnacentral:rRNA from 1 species